GCCGGGCGAGGUGGCGGGCGCCUGUAGUCCCAGCUACUUGGGAGGCUGAGGCAGGAGAAUGGCGUGAACCCGGGAGGCGGAGCUUGCAGGGUGAGCUGAGAUCCGGCCACUGCACUCCAGCCUGGGUGACAGAGCCAGACUCCGUCUCAA
rnacentral:SRP_RNA from 1 species